GAUAAACGCUGGCGGCGUGCAUGAGACAUGCAAGUCGAACGGACGAUCGAGGCUUGCUUCGAUCGUUAGUGGCGGACGGCUGAGUAACGCGUAGGUGACCUGCCCCGAAGUGGGGAAUAACUGCCCGAAAGGGUGGCUAAUACCGCAUGUGGUGGUGUGUUCAAUCACACCAGUAAAGCCGCAAGGCGCUUCGGGAGGGGCCUGCGUCCGAUUAGCUCGUUGGUGGGGUAACGGCNCACCAAGGCGACGAUCGGUAGGUGGUCUGAGAGGACGAUCACCCAGACUGGGACUGAGACACGGCCCAGACUCCUACGGGAGGCAGCAGUGGGGAAUCUUGGACAAUGGGCGCAAGCCUGAUCCAGCCAUGCCGCGUGAGUGACGAAGGUCUUCGGAUUGUAAAGCUCUUUUGCCAGGGACGAUAAUGACGGUACCUGGAGAAUAAG
rnacentral:rRNA from 1 species